AUUAAAAUAAAAUACAAAGAAAAAAAGAAUGCGAUAGAUGAAGAUAAAAAUUGGAGUAAAUAUUAAUUAUUAUAUACACAUUUAUUAUUAUGUUAUAAUUUCCUAAACUCUAUUUCUUAGGUUCCCUGACUGGAAUUCUUUAAAAUGAGACAGAACUUUGGUGCAAUCUGCUGGUUUAAAAAUACGAAUCUAAGAAUGUACCUACUGUUUACACAGGAAUCUGUGUGAAGCUGACAGGAAAGAAAGGAGAAUAAAGGUCACGGUAACUCUAUGCUACGAUCUUAAAGAAGAUACUUAAUGUGGACUUCUUUUUGG